GGAUGUAAGGGCAAUCUGGCUGUGACAUCUGUCACCUCAUUGACUGGCAGGGUUGAUUCGGCUGAUCUGGCCAGCUGGGUGGGUAUUCCCUUUCUACCUCACUGCUCCAUGUGCGUACCAACCAAAGCCCUGGAAUUGAUCAGAUCCUUCCUCCACAGAGAAGGACCAUUCUUCUGUCAAAGGUAUAUGAGUGCUAUACUCCCUUGCUAGAAUCUCCAAACUCUUAAAACAUCAUUAAGAUUAAGAAUAUUUAUUUAUUUAAUUAUUUUUGAGGUGGGGUAUCCUAUGUCACCCAGG
rnacentral:snRNA from 1 species